rnacentral:tRNA from 1 species
GGAUGGGUGGCAGAGUGGUCGAUUGCAUCGGUCUUGAAAACCGACGGCCCUUCACGGGGUCCGGGGGUUCGAAUCCCUCCCCAUCCGCCA